AACGAACGCUGGCGGCAUGCCUAACACAUGCAAGUCGAACGAGACCUUCGGGUCUAGUGGCGCACGGGUGCGUAACGCGUGGGAACCUGCCCUUAGGUUCGGAAUAACUCCCCGAAAGGGGUGCUAAUACCGGAUAAUGUCUUCGGACCAAAGAUUUAUCGCCUUUGGACGGGCUCGCGUUGGAUUAGCUAGUUGGUAGGGUAAAAGCCUACCAAGGCGACGAUCCAUAGCUGGUCUGAGAGGAUGAUCAGCCACACUGGGACUGAGACACGGCCCAGACUCCUACGGGAAGCAGCAGUGGGGAAUAUUGGACAAUGGGCGAAAGCCUGAUCCAGCAAUGCCGCGUGAGUGAUGAAGGCCUUAGGGUUGUAAAGCUCUUUUACCCGGGAUGAUAAUGACAGUACCGGGAGAAUAAGCUCCGGCUAACUCCGUG
rnacentral:rRNA from 1 species